AAUAGAUACCCAGGUAGUCCACGCCGUAAACGAUGAGUGCUAAGUGUUAGAGGGUUUCCGCCCUUUAGUGCUGCAGCUAACGCAUUAAGCACUCCGCCUGGGGAGUACGGCCGCAAGGCUGAAACUCAAAGGAAUUGACGGGGGCCCGCACAAGCGGUGGAGCAUGUGGUUUAAUUCGAAGCAACGCGAAGAACCUUACCAGGUCUUGACAUCCUCUGCCAACCCUAGAGAUAGGGCGUUCCCCUUCGGGGGACAGAGUGACAGGUGGUGCAUGGUUGUCGUCAGCUCGUGUCGUGAGAUGUUGGGUUAAGUCCCGCAACGAGCGCAACCCUUGAUCUUAGUUGCCAGCAUUCAGUUGGGCACUCUAAGGUGACUGCCGGUGACAAACCGGAGGAAGGUGGGGAUGACGUCAAAUCAUCAUGCCCCUUAUGACCUGGGCUACACACGUGCUACAAUGGAUGGUACAAAGAGCUGCGAACCCGUGAGGGUAAGCGAAUCUCAUAAAGCCAUUCUCAGUUCGGAUUGU
rnacentral:rRNA from 1 species